rnacentral:rRNA from 1 species
GAUGAACGCUGGCGGCGUGCCUAAUACAUGCAAGUCGAGCGAACGGACGAGAAGCUUGCUUUUCUGAUGUUAGCGGCGGACGGGUGAGUAACACGUGGAUAACCUACCUAUAAGACUGGGAUAACUUCGGGAAACCGGAGCUAAUACCGGAUAAUAUUUUGAACCGCAUGGUUCAAAAGUGAAAGACGGUCUUGCUGUCACUUAUAGAUGGAUCCGCGCUGCAUUAGCUAGUUGGUAAGGUAACGGCUUACCAAGGCAACGAUGCAUAGCCGACCUGAGAGGGUGAUCGGCCACACUGGAACUGAGAAACGGUCCAGACUCCUACGGGAGGCAGCAGUAGGGAAUCUUCCGCAAUGGGCGAAAGCCUGACGGAGCAACGCCGCGUGAGUGAUGAAGGUCUUCGGAUCGUAAAACUCUGUUAUUAGGGAAGAACAUAUGUGUAAGUAACUGUGAACAUCUUGACGGUACCUAAUCAGAAAGCCACGGCUAACUACGUG